GUCGAGCGGACCGACGGGAGCUUGCUCCCUUAGGUCAGCGGCGGACGGGUGAGUAACACGUGGGUAACCUGCCUGUAAGACUGGGAUAACUCCGGGAAACCGGGGCUAAUACCGGAUGCUUGAUUGAACCGCAUGGUUCAAUCAUAAAAGGCGGCUUCGGCUGCCGUUUACAGAUGGACCCGCGGCGCAUUAGCUAGUUGGUGAGGUAACGGCUCACCAAGGCGACGAUGCGUAGCCGACCUGAGAGGGUGAUCGGCCACACUGGGACUGAGACACGGCCCAGACUCCUACGGGAGGCAGCAGUAGGGAAUCUUCCGCAAUGGACGAAAGUCUGACGGAGCAACGCCGCGUGAGUGAUGAAGGUUUUCGGAUCGUAAAGCUCUGUUGUUAGGGAAGAACAAGUACCGUUCGAAUAGGGCGGUACCUUGACGGUACCUAACCAGAAAGCCACGGCUAACUACGUGCCAGCAGCCGCGGUAAUACGUAGGUGGCAAGCGUUGUCCGGAAUUAUUGGGCGUAAAGCGCGCGCAGGCGGUUUCUUAAGUCUGAUGUGAAAGCCCCCGGCUCAACCGGGGAGGGUCAUUGGAAACUGGGGAACUUGAGUGCAGAAGAGGAGAGUGGAAUUCCACGUGUAGCGGUGAAAUGCGUAGAGAUGUGGAGGAACACCAGUGGCGAAAGCGACUCUCUGGUCUG
rnacentral:rRNA from 1 species